CUGCUCUUCUGAUCUGGAAGCUCCUGCUCCUCCCAAAGCCGAAGUCAAAGCGAAGGCCUUGAAAGCUAAGAAGGCAGUGCUGAAAGGCGUCCACAGCCACAUAAAGAAGAAGAUCCGAACGUCACCC